AGCAGGGCAAGCUGACCUCUCCAAUAGGUACUUAACAGCAGAGUGUGGGGAGCCCUGGUUGUGGACCUGAUGGUGCAGUUCUCUCUCUCACACCAGGCAUAGCUCAUCCCACUCCUUCCCACAGCGGGCAUAGCACGUGCUGUGUCUUUGGUUCUCUUUGUCUCAGAUGGUGAGGUGGGACACUUUCCAGUGAAUUCCAGGUACAAAGAAGAUGAUAAAAUGUAGUCACGAAAAGUCAGAUGAAAACACAAGCCUCCAGGAAAGUUGCAGCCAACAAAUUUCACAAUCUUGUUCCAGGAAUGCCUGACCCAGUUUUCUGCAGAUUCAUGCAAUAACUGAUGACUUUGAUGAUGAAAGGUGCAGCGUUCAACCAGACCAGCAACUGGUGAAAAGUACCAUCUCCACAAAUCAAAUAGAUGGUCAUCUUUGGUCCUCACUGGAUGCGCACAGCAGAUGUUGGUUUCAAAAGAGAAGGGAAAACACUUGUAAAAAAUGGAAGUUUCAUCUCUGGCCUGCAUUACAGCUUCUGGCAUAUUUUUAGAUGCCAACAAGUAAUGUCAAAGAAACAGCUGUUACAAUGAUCCUGCUUAACAGCCAUAAAGGAAUGAAGAUUUCCACAGAGAACUUUAUCAGUCUCCACAGAGCUGCCAUUUCCUGCUGACUGAGAGACAAGAUGGAGUGCCAGAUUGUCAUUUAGUUUAACUCCAUGGAAAUGAGGCAAGGGAAUCUGACCAUGACUAAACCUUUGCGUCCAGCAAAAGAACACAGGGUAAUCAAGGAAACCUUCUGCUGGCCCUCGGAAGACAGACUGUUGCAGAUUCCCAUCUCAAAGGAGCAUGGACAGUUUGUAGGAAGUAGAAGCUGAUUCGAUUCCAACACAGCACUUUAUUACAGCUAAGAAGGACAUAUUACCCAAAGCCGUCUUCUGAUGUGCCAGAAGCAACAACCAAGAAGAACUCUAAGGGGCAAAUAAACAACCUGAAACCAAAUCACAGAAACUCCUGGAAACACAACUUGACUUAGCCCAAGUCAGACUUUCUGGUAACUGAUUCUCUCACUUGUGGAAGCCUACAGGGAGUGGAAAGGUUGAAAGCCAGAUCACAUCAUCCCUCUAAAUCCCCAGCACCUGGCACAGGGGCUGGACAUGAGUAGGUACUGCUA